UCAAAUGGGGAUGUGCCCGACGCCCGGAGUUUUUAACAGUAGCCACAGUAUUAGCCACAGUAGCAGCCCCUGGCAGCGAUGAACGCUGUUCAGCCAUUUCAGUUCGAGCCAGAGUGUGAUCAGGGAAAUGAGGAGAGUGAGGAAGACCCAUGAAAUGAGGAUGAAGAUGACGGGUGUGAAGAAACUCGAGGUGGUCAUAUUCAGUGGUGUAUUUGUAGCUACCGCUAAAGUGGGCUGAUCAAGGUACGUGGCCAGCGCCUCCUGUCUUUUGCGUAUUUUUGCUCAGCUUUCGCAUGUCACACGCGGCCGUUUAUGCUCCUUGUGAGGAAAGAAUAAAAAGAAAGAAUCUGGGCUGAAGUGACGAGAACACAGCCGCGGAUCUUUCAGCAUCUCAACUCUUCCGACCGCAUCCUCCCACUGUUUCCUCAACUUUCUCUCUUUGGGAAAGCUAUGAAUGCUUGCCUCCUUUUUUGCAUUCCGUCCUGAUUGGAAAUUGCAUCCAAAAGUGGAGCAUUAUGGCAUUUUUAACUCUUUUCACUGACGAUAAAAGUUGUUUGCAAGUGGCUAGCUUAGCUCCGCCGAGAGCAGCAACGUAACAAUUUUACAACAGCCAUUCUACGUCGUCAUUCCCAGAAUGCUUUGCGCACGCUAAAACAUGGCGGCGACAGUGUAUCAAAUUAUGGUAGGAGUAAAUUAUAAAUAUAUACCACUGUAUUUCAGUAGUAGAGUUCAGUAGUUGUAAAAUUAAAUGUAUUUGUCUUUUCAAUCGGAGCUCACGUUAAGGCCAGGUAAUUUGCUUGAAUAGUAAAAGUGGAUUGUGUGUGUGUGUGGAGGUGGGUGACAGAAGAGAGAAAAGUAGAUAAUAAACGGGAAACAAAUGUGGAUUUGGAGAGUAUUCGGCAGACAACUGGCUUCUUAUUCCAUACACACAAAGGCUAAUUUCUCUGACUGCAUUUCAAGCUUCUGACUGAUGUCCCCUCAGUAACACUGCAUGAAAGCGAUGCGAUGAUUCUUAACUGCCACUCGAACAUGCACUUGCUUCGCCCCCGUCUGUUUCGUAUGCAUUGGCGAUUUCUAACAAGGGUUUUUAUUCUGAAACUUUGUACCCCAUUUGUCUUUCCAAUUUCCUUUCUACAUCUCUCUCUUCUCAUCCUUCAUAAUUAAUGGCUCGACUGAGUACGGGACAGCUGAAUAAUUGCACACAAGCUUUGCCAGGUGCUGUCGAGCAGUAACAGAUGGAUCCCAGGUAUCCAGCUCUUGGCAAGUGAUAUCUACGUCUGGUGGUAGUGACCAAGAGGCCGAUGGAGGUGCUGGCGGGUCAAUCCACCUUAGUAAAGGUGCUAGCUGCUGGAUGUUGUGGCACUAUGGGAUAGAGACAAGGCCACCGAUGGCUUUCAAACAACAAGGCCCCAUGUCUGCUGCAAUUAACUACUUGUCCAGGCAUGGCUACGAGAUGUGUCAGGCUCAGGGCUGUGCACUCAAGUGUGCAGCACCACAUCACGGCUGACCAAAGGUCCCUGCUGUUACUCCAAACGAAUACAGCAGAUACUCAUAACAUUUGUAUUUAUUAUGACAUUAAAGCAAUAAAAUACAAAUGCACAUGAAGAUAAAAUAAAAUGUAGUUCUGGUGUUGUUAGUUAAAAUGGCUAAUUUACAUGAGCUGGUGCUUUCAGUAUCUUAUUUAUUAGGUACACCUCCACAAGAUACAAGAUAUUGAUGGACAGAAAAAGGAUUAACACUACAGUGCUGAUGGAGAGCAGCAGCUUUUCUUGUUCAUCCAGCCGCUGCAAGAGAGCAUCCCGGUCUGUGUUCCGAGUCUGCCUGAGUGCUUUCAGCUCAUCCCUGGUGUGCUUGUGCUGCCUCCUCAGGCGCUGUUCUCUUGUGUCAUGCUCCCGCACCUCCUUACGCAGCCAGCGUAGCUUGGACUGUUCAGUUAGAAUAGACAAAUAAACACAGAAUACAUUGGAUAAGGAUUUUGUAGGAAGAGUAAACAAAAGUGGACAUCUCAAGUGUAUAACAUUGAGCAGACAUCAGGCCCAAGUCAGGUGAACCAGCAACCAAUAUGUACGGUGCAACAAAGCAAAACAACAGAUAUCUGGCUAUGCCAACAAUGCUGCAGCAAGUAAAAAUAGCUUUUGUUAAACAAUAAAACAGCCACCCAGAGAUUUAUCUUUAAGAAAGUCUGUGAAACGAGGCAUACGUUAUUGUGAUGGAUGAUAAACUGUACUGUGUCUGUAGUCUUAUUCAAACUCAUCAAAAUAACACUGAUACAACUUCAGCAGCCUGACAUACAGUAUACCUUCUGAGGCUAGGAGCUAUUGUGUCAGGUGUGUUGCAAGGUAAACACAGAUGACAAAACUUUUCGCUGACUGCAAAUUAUGCUCUGCAAAAUAGAUGAUGAACGAGUGAAACUGUUAAUGGCUCAUGGUUCCUUAGAUCGCGCCGCCUUUACUUGGAUAACUGUGGCAAGUGAUGGUGUGAUAAUGUAUCAUUUCACUUUUCCUGCCGGUUUUACUUUAUAACUAAAUAUAUUUAAGUGACAUUUCACUGUGGCAAGGCUGUUAGAAAAACAUAGUUGUUUUUUUAAUGUCAGUAUUGACAAAUUGUUACUCAAGAAAAGUGUUAUAGUUGAGUGUUUUUGGAUAAUGUUUGAUUAAAAGUAAACACUUUUUGAUCACAAUUACAAGACAAUGGCAUUAUCAAGUAUCGGUACUUGGUGUUGGCGAGUACUCAAAUGCAAUUACUUCUACUCGUAUUCGGUCUAUAAAACUAUAUAUAUAGUUUUAUAUAUAUAAUAUAUAUAUAUAUAAUAUAUAUAUAUAUAUAAAUAUAUAUAUAUAUAAAUAACUAUAUAAGUAUAUAUAUAUAUAUAUAUAUAUAUAUAUAUAAAAAAUCCCUAAUUUUAACAACAACACUACAUGUUCUUUAAUAAAAUAUCACUGUUAUAUUUACACAUCUAGUGUGGAAAGCAGUGAAGUCGACAGCAAACUUCCGAGACAAUAGAAAACAGCAUAUACUGUACUGUACAUUGCAGGGAAUUGAUCUUAUUCAUAUAAAAAACUGUAAAGAACGUGUUUCUUUGGGUUUUUAUUAUUAAAAUGUCAACUGUCAAAAACACAUACAGACAGAUAUGCAUACAGUACGUUGUAUCUGUAAAAUCUGACAUCUAUCAUGCACAUGCUUAAGGAUUCAUCAGCAUUCUGUCAUCUACUUUUGUAGUGGCUUGGGUGAAAAUUAUUAUUAUUAUUUUUCUUUUUAAUAAAAAAUAGUUGUGAUUAUAGCUUUAAUGCUGUACUUACAAUUGUUCCCAGCAGCCACAACAGCCCAGGUUCAGGCCAGUAUGGACAUAAUGUGAUGGUUGUGAGAUAACGCAGGGGGGCGGGAUAACGUGACAGUCUGCGAUUGCCCGGCGAGAUGUUUACAUUGUCAAAAAUAAAUUGCUAUAUCGGUCAAAGUGCAGAAGAGAAACCUUGUCGGCGGGGUAAACGCAACAAAACUGACGGGACAUAAUAAGUGUAACACAAUGUAGUUUUAUGCGGACAUCUCACAUUCAUCGCCUAUAAAUCUUCUAAAGCUAAGCCAAUUGUUUAAUUUACAUAUAAUGCCCACUGUGGCAUACCUGUAGGCUUAAUGUUGAAUGAGUGUGAGAAAGACCGUGUGUGUGUGUGAGUUGACUGAGUGCCAUCCAUUUCACACGUGUAAUUUGAACAUGAUAACGGGCUCUUCUGCAUGUUUUGGUGCAUGAGAUGGAUUUGUGGCAGAAAACUACUACUAUCAAACAGUUAUUGAGCAGCAGUAUACAGGUGCCCCACUGUGCUGGCACUGACUUGUGCCAUUCCAAGGCAACAGAGCUUCAAUCGACUCUGCCGGGCCAGAAACUUGUUCCAAAGCUGCCCGGCGUCCACAUUUCAACCGUAUAGAGCCUUGUCACAACGUGAAAAACGUGUACCAUCAGAAAGUGACGGUUCCAGGAGGUAAAGUACAGGCAUCAGUACUAAACCGUGGGCCAAAACGUAGUGAACCUGUGAGCCCAUCCAGUUUACAUGUGCUUUGUGGACUUGGAGAAAGUGUUCGACUGAGCCCCCUGAUACUGGCUGUUCAGUCCCUGUACAACCGGUGAGUUUGGUCCACAAUGCCAGCAGUAUUUGAAGACAUACAUAUAUUUGUAUAUAUUACAUAUUACGUAUUCUUGUUAAUCAUAUACAUAUUAUGUAUUCUUGUUAAUCUAAUGUUGUUUUGUUGUUACAUGCUCACUAGCCUUUUGUCUUGUCUUGUCAUGCUGCUUUAACACAAAUAUUUAGCCAAAGUGGAGUUGGCAAGAGAGUAACACAUCCUCAAACCAAUUCACACCUUAAAGUGCAUCACCCUUUCCAAAUGCAAACGUGAAGCAUUUAUCCAGAAGAUAUGUCAAGUCAAACAGCCAAUAUGACAAAACUUGCUAAACACAACUUUAAAUGCUGUGACAGGGCAAUGUCAAAGCCAUGACACAAUCUUGGAAAUCAAUCUUUUUUUUUUUUUUUUAAAUCUAUUUCUCAUGCUAGAUCUUUGAUGUCCUAACAGGAGAGCUCGUGUGAUAUAAAAAACGAAUAGCAUAUACAGUUCUUUUUAAGAUGUGGGUCACUGCUGCAUUUGCCUGAAAAUUAGAAAACAAUAAACCGAAUUGAAAGGCCAUACAACUCUAUCGCCCGUAAGGCCCUAAACUGCGGAGCCUGUUUUCUAUCAUAAUAACUCAUUGUUUGAGAAUGGUUUCAUUUCAGUAAAUGUCUGUGUUAGAUGGACAAAAAAUAUCAUUCAUUUUCCCUGCUAUAGACCACCACACCAUGUUCCUGCUAACAGCGUUUCACUCUUAAUCUUAUGUGCUAUAAUUGAAUUUGCUCGAAAAUUCCCUUGGUUGGGUGACAGAGUAACACUGCAUGCAAUAUUCAUACCUUUGUCUCUGCUAGCCAAAGGGAGUGGUCUUUUACUAAUCCAGUUUUCGUAGUUGCCUGUUAAAACAAACAUAGGCAAUUGUGAGCUUUCCUGCAUGCAUGCAACACAAAAAUAGGAAAUAAUGCAAUCAAAAUUAAAUUGUCACCGGUAUCUUGUGCAUGGAUAAAAUACACAGCAAUGAAAGAUGACUUCUUCAAACAGGCUUAUUCCUGAACAAAGCUCCUAUUAAUACAAAUAACCUUUCGGUGCCAACAAUUGAUGACGUGCACAUGCUUAAAACACUAACAUAUUGCGAGUAGAUAUAAAGUUACAAAACUUAAUGUCACUCAGUCAAGGUCGUACCUCCACUGAUGCUAGCAACUACUGAGACAUAUCAGUUACUCUAUACUUGAGAAUUAACAGGAAAGGCUGCUACCGGUAAUCCCUUCCAUGAUUUUUUCAUAGCAUGACUCACAAUAGCAGGUAAACGUGUAUGCAACCAGUUUAAAUGAAAGUGAAAAUGUGCCUGUGUAAUUCUAGCAGCUUUAUUUAGUAUGUAUCAUCUACUCUAUUUGGUUACAUUUAUCAUUUGUUGUAUUUGUAAAAUUUUGAUAAAUUUUCAACCACUGUGCUUGCAAGCAGCUAGUAAUGUUUUGAAAAGACACAAAUGUUACUCCAUUCCCAAACUUUUGAAACAUUUUCUCCCCUCAGUUUCAGUUCUCUGUAUCAUAGGAUAUGGUUUUGCUUAGAUCACAGGUGUCAAACACAAGGCCUAAGGGCCAAAUCCGGCUCGGCACCUCAUUUUAUGUCGCCCGCAAAAGCAAAUCAUGUGCACCAAAACUGCAAAUUGUCUUCACUUUUAAUAACAUAUGGCAAGCAUUUUUUGUUACCAAUACCCUUUUUAAAAUAAACUGAAUAAUAAUUGAACAAACUAUUUUUACUAGCUUCUGAUUUCAAAACUAGUUACCCAUCAAUUUGUUGUGUGUAUGUAAUAAUAUGAGGGAAUUGUACAUUUAUAUGGCUUCACAGUCACAACCGCCCUCCAAAGAAAACUAACUAUGAUGUGACCUGCAGCAAAAAUUAGUUUGUCACCCUUUGCUUAGAUACUGUAUAUUUACCGUAUUUUCAUGACCAUAAGGCGGGCUUAAAAGUCUUAAAUUUUCUCCAAAAUGGACGGGGCGCCUUAUAGCGCGGGGCGCUUUUUAUGAGCAACAAGUUCCAACACCUAUAAAUAAUGUUGUGUGAUGAGCGCUCCGCUAGACGUUUUCCUGCCGACAUGCUGCUUACACAGAGGAAAAGUGGACGUGGCUGAGGACAGUGGAAGGACGCUAAAGCCACGCCCCCAGUAGGGAUAUAGCACCGGGGUGUUUGUUUAUUUUUUUGUAUUUAUAUAUAUUUUUUACUACUUUACUGACAAGGAGCAUUUCCGGGGUGUGCAUUGUGCAAAACAACAUCGGUUUGGCUCAGGACCCCCGAGCAGCCGUGAGAGAAUUCAAGAUCAACGAAUCCAUGGUUUGCAAGUGGAGGAAGCAGGAAAACAGGCUUCGCCAAGUCAAGAAGACGAAGCUGAGUUUCCGCGGAAAAAAAAAAAAAGCAAAACGCGGAAACAAGGCGAGGUGGCCCGAGUUGGAAGACCAACUCGAGCAAUGGAUUAAUGAGCAAAGAAUAACUCGGGGCUUGCCAUCAUUCCGGGAGGCUUGACGAACCGCUGGAACCGGUGUAAACAGGGCGUUCAAAGUGAAGUUGCGAGCGGCGUGGAAAGCGAUGGAUGACAUAUGGCGAACACAGCUUUACUAAGACUAGGAGGCAGAGUUACGCCACCAUUUGUGAAUGGAUUGUGGAUGCUGGGUUAGCGUGUCUGCUUGCACUGUUGUUCGAGCUUUCGCACGGCAACGAGACUGACUCGAACCUGGCAUGUUCGAUUGAGAACUUACCCAGCUGUUCAUUUCGGAUACAGAAGAUGAGGACUUAGUUUUGCUCCCGCUGCGUUUUUAAAAACAUUGUUUUAGCGUGCAUGCAUGCUAUCGUAUGUUUUAAGCUAGCGUAUGGUUUACCAUGCCUGCGCCCAAUAACACAGUGCGCCUUGUGUACGUGUUAAAUACAGAAAUAGACCCCGUAACUGAGACUGCGUCUCUUAAUACGGUGCGCCCUAUGGUCGUGAAAAUAUUUUUUUAGAUUAUUUCUUUAUUAGGUUUAAUAAACAGAUACGGCAGGAACACAGGAUUUUUAUUUAAGAGCCAUUCUGUUGGAGGUCUUGACACAAAUCAACAUCUCUGCAUGGGCAUCAGGCAACUUUUUCAAGUUGUCACUUCAAACCAGUUCCAAGCCAAACAGAUAUCCCAAGCAAGCGCCUGCCACAGAGGUUCAAAGGGCAUCUGUGGUGUGUAGCAGUGCAGCGGUCCCCUUCUGAGGGAGUCCACAAGCGCUUGGCAUAGAUAGUGACUGUGAAUGAGGAUACAAAUGUUUCUGUGAUCAAAGGAAAAAACUGUGAAAAAUCGAAGUUGAUUGGGAGUUGAAAGUGUUGGUGGAAAUGACGUGCACCAAGUACAGACUUUUUCUCAAAAGCAUUGAUGUUGAAUCAAAGUUUAAUUAAAUGUUUGUUUGCAGUUUAUAUAUCUUGUUUAGCAUGCGUGUACAUUAGAGACGCACCGAUACAGAUCCCAGUAUCAGUGCCAAUACUGUACGUCUGCACUUGUACUCUGAGUUGUAAAAAAAUUUCUGAUAUACAACAUUGAUACCACUUAUAACAGCCUGACAUUUACUUUUCGGGGCAGGAGCCAUGACGAACGUGUGGCGGUAUUUUAAGUUAAACGCGUAUGGCAAUUCUUUGAUCCGACUGCAAAUUAUGCUCUGCAAAUGGAUACUGAAAUCCGCCAAGCGGGUGAUUCAUUGCGGCGCGACAGACAUCCAGCCCGGCCCUCCUCUGCUCAACGAGCCCUGGAAGUUACCUGGCUCCUCUUGCCAGUAGCAUAUCUACAGUAUAUAAUGUCAAAGAUUAAGCCAUGCAAGCCAUGCUGAAAUCCACACAGACCUUUACAGUGAAACUGCAAAUGGCUCAAUAAAUCAAUGGUAAUAAAUCAAUGGUUCCCCGUGAUGACUCCAUCGUUACUUGAAUAACUGUAGCAAUUCUAGAGCUAAUACAGACGCUUCUGAAAACACUUUUUUUUUCUUUUUUAAACAGUCUAGAAGAGUAAAGAGAAGUGAUAAUAAAUCACUUCAGUUGUCCUGCCCGUUUUAUAUUAGAAGUAAAAUGUCUUGUGAUACAGGCUACAUUUAAGUGAAAAGUGGGGCAAGACAAACAUGCAGUUGGAACUUCAAAUGUCAGUAAUCUCUCUAAAAAGUGUUACAUUUGAGCGAAACUUAUGCCAUGUUCAAGAAAGUUGGUUUUGAACAAUACCUUUGAUUAAAAAAAAAAAAAAAAAAAACAUUUUCAUCACAAUUGCAUGACAUACCGGCACGGUGGACAACUAGUUAGCAUAUCUGCCUCACAGUUCUGAGGACCGGGGUUCAAAUUCCGGCCCAGUCUGUGUAGAGUUUGCGUGUUCUUCCCGUGCCUGCGUGGGUUUCUCUGGUCACUCCGGUUUCCUCCCACAUCCCAAAAACGUGUAUGGUAGGUUGAUUGAAGACUCUAAAUUGCGCUUAGGUGUGAAUGUGUGUGCAAAUGGGUGUUUGUUUAUAUGUGCCCUGCGAUUGGCUGGCGACCAGUUCAGGGUGUACCCCGCCUCUCGCCCGGAGUGAGGUGGGAUAGGCUCCAGCAUGCCCGCGACCCUUGUGAGAAUAAAGUGGUAAAGAAAAUGGAUGGAUGCAUGACAAUGAUAUAAUUAUCAAGUAUCAACAAGUACUCAAAUUUAAGUACUGUACUUGUGUUCCUGCUCUCUGAAAAAAAGUGCUAUCGGUGCAACCCUUGUGUAGAUGGGUGACUGUGCUUUGGGAUGCGAUUUGUUUGCUUCAGCACCCCCACUGAGAAAGUUAAAAUAGAAUUAUAAGAUUCUCCCUAAAACAAUGCAAAUGGAGGAGAUUCAGGGAAAUGAGAAUUAAACCAAGUCAGAGUUAGCCUAUCACAGCUGAUACAGCGCGAAAAGCAGACCUGACCCUGGAUUGGUGUCCAGCCACUCCCAACGAUUAUUUAAUUCCAACUGGGUCAGUUUUAACUUCAACACUUAACAGUAUGCAUACAAAGAGAGUGAUGGAAAGAGGGAAUCAAAAGGUAACAUAAACCUGAGAAACCCCAUAACUGUUAAUGACUCCUCUCAUUAGGGCUAUCACUUGAGAGUUUGACUUCCUUUCAAGAUGGCAGAUCACAGAUGAGGUGAGGGCAGGAGGUGUUGACUUAUGUGCCUGGCUCCAGAGGUGCUGGUUCAGAUUGAGAAAUCUACAUGACCAGCUACAGGAUGGCUGUAGUGGUACAAGGAAAUGAGCCUACAUGGGGGAAUAACUGUGUGCAAGGUUGCAGAUGCAAAAUAUGAAUGUUUUGACACGUCUCAAAAUAAAAUCAUCAAUCAGAGGAUCUCUAAAUCCUUGAACUUUCCAAGAUAUUUUGGACAUUUCUAUGCUUCCAAGUUUUGUGAGAACUUUGGAAAGACUCUUGUCUUACAAGGUCCAAGACCUUAAGCAAAAUAUGAAUGAGUUGUGUAGUUGAAAAGGUAUUGUUCAUAGUAGAUAAAUGUGCAUGCAUCAAUGCAUUUCUCAGACGGUGUCAAUCAAUCAUUCUGUCACAAACUCCUGUGAUAUCACUGAGGGUAGGGAGAUGAGGUGGGGCAGGGGCACUAUACAGUAUAAACUACAGGCAUUGGUAUCUUUUGAUGAAGGUGGAUGCAUGGAUGAUGUACAGCCAUCGACAAGCAAGGUAAAACAGCAUACAGUACCUGAAAGUUGUCUUCACCAUUCCUUGGCAGGCCUUGGAGAGCUGCAUCAAGUUCCUCACUGAUGGAGGAAAGAAGUGUCCCAUGUUCUGCUUCCAUCUCUGCCACCUUCUCUUCCAGUAUAACAAGCUCUGCUACUGUUGCAUGCCCUCCAUCUGACCUGACCUAUGGAGGAUAUGAGCACAAUGAUUAAUUUCAGGAUCUCUUCCAGGGCACUGUCAAUCAAUGUGUCAAGGGCACAGGAACUAACUGAUCAGUGUUGCCGCGGGACUGUGGGUCAUCAUUCUGUCUCUUCAUGAUGAACUAUCCAAGCUACAUGAAUAUCGGCCCUUUUUUUCCCCCAUUCAGCCAAUUUGGAGUCAAUGCAUGGAUGCCCUGAAGAGAUCCUCCUACUUAUGGGGUCCGUCAGAGAGGAGAGUGAAGACUCCAUCUGCUGUUGUAAAACACCGACAAUUUUAUGUAGCAGCCCUUUGAAAUAGUGCUGAUAUGGCACAAAUGUAACCUUUCAAGCCUUCUCAGGGUUUGCAUGAUCACAUAACCUUGCUUUGAAUACAUGGCUGUAUUACCACAAGAAGAAAAUUAUCUUUUUGGGUGCAUAAAAUAAAAGUGUAUUUUGAACAACUUCUCUUAUUUGUUCCUGCAAUAUAUCACUUAUUUUAAUUAAUCAUCCUGGGUUGCCAUGGCAAUGAUGAGACUAUUCUAAUUACAAAACAAUUUACUAUCAACAUGUUUUUGACACUGGUAUUUUACAUGACUCCAAAUGUACUUGAUUUCUUUAUUUUUAUGUCUUUAUUUUUUUACAUUACUCCAU